rnacentral:rRNA from 1 species
CCUACGGGUGGCAGCAGUGGGGAAUAUUGCGCAAUGGGCGAAAGCCUGACGCAGCGAAGCCGCGUGAGGGAUGAAGGUCUUCGGAUCGUAAACCUCUGUCAGCAGGGAAGAACGGUCACUGUGCUAAUCAGCAGUGAAUUGACGGUACCUGCAAAGGAAGCACCGGCUAACUCCGUGCCAGCAGACGCGGUAAUACGGAGGGUGCGAGCGUUAAUCGGAAUUACUGGGGGAAAGGCGCACGUAGGCGGUAUGUAAAGUCAAGGGUAAAAUCCCCGCGCUCAACGUGGGAACGGCCUUUGAACUGGGCAAACUGGGGUGUGUGAGAGGAUAGUGGAAUUCCAGGUGUAGGAGUGAAUCCGUAGAUAUCUGGAGGAACAUCAGUGGCGAAGGCGACUAUUUGGCACAUAACUGACGCUGAGGAGCGAAAGCGUGGGUAGCAAACAGGAUUAGAUACCCCAGUAGUC